rnacentral:rRNA from 1 species
ACGGAGGAUGCAAGCGUUAUCCGGAUUCAUUGGGUUUAAAGGGUGCGCAGGCGGAAUGAUAAGUCAGUGGUGAAAUCCUACGGCUCAACUGUAGAACUGCCAUUGAUACUGUUGUUCUUGAGUACACUUGGAGUGGGCGGAAUGUGUCAUGUAGCGGUGAAAUGCUUAGAUAUGACACAGAACAACGAUCGCGAAGGCAGCACACUGAGUUGUAUCUGACGCUCAGGCACGUAAGCGUGGAGAUGAAAGAG